GGACAAGUGAAUAAGUGCACAUGGUGGAUGCCUUGGCGAUUACAGGCGAUGAAGGACGUAGUAGCUUGCGAUAAGCUGCGGGGAGCUAGCAAACGAGCUUUGAUCCGCAGAUUUCCGAAUGGGGAAACCCGGCCUUUUAGGUCAUUGCAUGCUGAAUACAUAGGCAUGCAAAGCGAACGCGGCGAACUGAAACAUCUAAGUAGCUGCAGGAAAAGAAAUCAACCGAGAUUCCCAAAGUAGUGGCGAGCGAAAUGGGAUGAGCCUGUAUGUGAUAGUCGGACUGAUAGUGGAAGUCUCUGGAAAGUGACGC
rnacentral:ncRNA from 1 species